rnacentral:rRNA from 1 species
ACGCUCGACACCUACGGGAGCAGCAGUGGGGAAUAUUGGGCAAUGGGCGCAAGCCUGACCCAGCAACGCCGCGUGAAGGAAGAAGGCCCUCGGGUUGUAAACUUCUUUUAUCAGGGACGAAGCAAGUGACGGUACCUGAUGAAUAAGCCACGGCUAACUACGUGCCAGCAGCCGCGGUAAUCUGAGGCGGGCUGGACAAGGC